CAGCGCGGUGCUUCCCCCGGUUGCGGCCGGGAACACGGCGAGGCUCCACGAGCAGGGGGCGAGGCGCCGCCGUGCGGGAGACGGUACGGCUGCGUCGGGGAAGGCGGCCUCAGGUCUGCUUUAGCUGUCAAGUACAUUUUGACAAGUUCAAGUCCGUGAGCUGCUACAAUACAGAAGAGAAUGAAUGAGGUGAAAAGUUAGGAGUCCCUGAGAAGAUUCAUUGGAUUGCAAUCCUGUGUAUGGGAACUGCUGAAUCACAGCCUGAACCUCUGAUUGAUCACCUGAGGCGAGCCAUGAGUCAGCCAUGGAGUACAGGUGAAGGCAAUUCACUGUGCUGCUGGAAGGGGUGGAGCCUGGCUGCACCUCUCCUAGACCUGUUUAAGAGCUGACCACCAGUGGGGAAGGAGCUCUUCUGGAGAUCCCUCCUCUGGAGCUUUGCAGUGAGCCCAGGAUGUGGUGCUUACCAAACUUUUACAAGGCACAGAUCUGAAACUAGAGGAACAACCUAGCUUGAGGACGUGAAGAAGAAACUCAUUUCCAAAUCUAAAAAGUGACCUAAACACCAGCUCUUCAUCCAUCUGCUGCUGAUGUAGUGCAGGAACUGUCUUUGGACAUGUCCAUGAGAAAACAUAAGGGUUGGCACACAUACACACUCAGAGUGUUCCUCCCAUGCUUCUGGCAUGUGAAUGUCCCCUCUCUUUUGUGGGCUCAAGAAAGUGAAUACAGUUUUAGUGAUCAUCUCUGUCAUCUAAGAAAAGGGAUACUUAAGAACUCUGAAGUCUGAUCCAAUACCAACACUUGCUCUUGGAUAAAUGUCACUCUACUAUCUGCUUCAGAGGCAUUUGUGUACACGUUGACCACAGCAAUACAAUCAAAAAGUCACAGGCGAAGUUCAUAUAUUCCUCAAAACUGCACAACCCUGUGCAAUGCUGCAGCACUACAGUUUAGUACAAAAUUAGAGCAACAGAGUUGAAAAGCCAUAGCAAUGGAUGAUGAGACUGUGAGAAUGGCAGUAUGCAAAACACACAUUGCUAGUUUGGCCACUGCUGCUUAAUUUACAUUUCCUCACAGUUUUAUCAGUGAAAUUUUUGAACAGAUGAACUAAUUUCACUUUGUUUUAAAAUUUUAAAGCUGUCUAAUCUAAUAACUGUCAAUUUUUCACCUUGCCCACUAAUAACCACUAAAGAAUCUAGAAGAAAAUAUAAGGGGAAAGACAAAGGAGAUAAUUUCUGUUUAUGAUCUAACUGCUGCAGAUAUCUCAGUUGUAUCAAAGGCACUGACAAUAGAGCAAUUAAUUGCUAAUACUAUAUUUGAUAUUAGAAAUUUUAUUUCAGUCUCCUGCUUUACCUACAACACUUAGAUCACAAGCUCAGGAAAAAUGCUUCCAGUUAGAGUUUUCUGAAGGGUCUCUGUAUAUAUUUUUUUUCUAUGUACGUACUGUGUGUGUCAAAAUUGCCAAAGCACAUAGGAGAAACAUGUUUUAAAAUUCAGCCCCAAACUUUUAAUGCCUUAGGUCCCCUUAUCUAUCAGCUUUAAAUUACCUUGUGCCACUUGUGUCACAGGAUGUUCUUGAGGAUAUAACUGAUUAAAUGCCAUACAGUCUAGCAGUGAUGGAGCAACUGAAUCCUUCAAAUUCAAGGUCAUUAAAUGAAUUCUUAGACUGUCAGGGUUUCUAAAAGAACUGAAAAUGAGAAAAAGUAUUCAGUAAGUUUUGAAACGGAAUUUUCGAUCUUGUUUUGAAAUGAAGCAGUCAGAGUGGCCCAGGUUAAUUAUCUUCAAAUCAAGAUUUUCAGAGUGUGAUAAUGGGUGAUUGUACUAGUCAGGUACAAACUCAAUUGCUUUAAACUAUUUUUUUUUAAAUUUUUUUAAUAAAUUCACUUAUGUUACAUAACAAUUGUGAAAAAGAUAUUCCUUUUAUAAUUCAAAAGUAAGAAAUUAAUUAUGAUUGAUUUUAUGUGGCAAGGAACAUAAUUGGUUGCCUGCUGGCUAACACACCUGUUUCUGUUCAAUUGAAUGAACUUCAUGGAGCUGUUAUCACAGUCCAACAAAAACUACGUUCAUGCUACCUAUCCACUCUCAGGAUAUCUCAUUCUUUGUGGGUUUAAACUGGCAGUUUUGAUUCAUCAGUUGUUUUUGUACAUUCAUAUAUCUUCCCAUUUUUUUUCAAUAUCUCCCAUAUGUUUAGGGACAGUUAACUAUAAACAUCCAAGUCACGAGGUUACCUCCUUCACAUUGCUUUCCUUUGCUGUGAUACAAAACUGGGUAGUGUGUUUUUUCAUUGUUCUUGUUUUUGUUUGUUUGUUUGUUUGUUGGACUGGGUUUUUGGGUUUUGUUCCUGUGUGUGUGCAUGUACUUUUCUUCGCAUUCUGUCUUUAUCCAUCUCCUAUCCUUUACAUUUUAAUGUAAAUUACAACAAAUCCAGGGCAGAUACCUCCUGGCUGUUUACGCAGCACUUGCCACAGAAGGCUCCAGCUCCAAACCUAGUAUUCCCAGAUGGUACUGUAAUAUAAGCAGUAAAGAUAAUCUCAUAAUUCCCCAAAGCUUCAGCCCUGACCCCAACAUGCAGGAAGCACUCCUCUUUCCUGGCACUAUUCAGUCUUUUUUGUCAAGACAAAUGCUCUGAGUUGACACGGGCUCUACAACACAUGUCCUUUCUGUCUGUAUGUAUGUCCCUUCUGAAAUCUACAUUUUGCAUAAUGAGUGACAUACAAUGGUAGCAAUCUGCAAAUUUAUAUAUAUAGACAGGCACAUACACAAAUAAACACACACGUGUUUUCUGCAGCUUAAGUGUUACUGGAAUUUGUUACUCAGUUUCUGCACCACUACAGACAUUUAUGUACUGUAGUUUGAUAACAAAUCCCUACACAGAUAUAACUCUAUCACUUGCAUAUCUGAUUGGAGAGUGCUGAGUCCUGAAACUUUGCAUCUCCAUAUCCAUGGUGAAAUCUCAUUCUGCAUAUUGCUUUGCCAUAAGUGAAUUGUUGUUGAUCCUACAUAAAUACAUUUUCUUAGCUUGCUUCUUCUAUACAGAACUUCCAUUUGGUCUCAGACAGAGCUAUCCAUUUUAGACUUCCUUUACAACUAAAGGAGAAAUAACUCUCACCUGAGCAACGAUCCUUGUAAAACAAAAGUCCUAAAACAGGUGAGAUAAAGUGUUCUUCAUGUAGACAGCUUGUCAUGAAAAAAAAAUAGACACUUGACUUUUAUAUGACAAAUUUAAAUUAGAUUAAUCGUUUCUGGGAUUAUUUUCUGUCAUGCUUUUUCUCUCCACUAAAGAUGAAAAAGAUUAUGUGUCACUAUUUCAGUUUUGCUUCUGAAUGCCAUGUUGUGAGCAUGGCCUGUGGGGAGAUUAUGACUUUUGUGUACCACUCCAUGGUAAUAGAUGGUUAUCAAACUUGCCUUCUCAGUCAUCUUAUUUUAUUUUUUAAUCCUGGCAGAGUCUUCUAAUUAUAUCUUAUCCCUAGAGCUCAGCAAACCUUCAUAUACCUAAUACUCUUACAAUCAGAUCCACAACCUGAAAAGCAUUUAAUUUUGAUCCUCUAUAAGGGGCUAUAUAGCCUUAUUUCUAUGUGAAAGCAGCUGUAAAUAUUUUUCCCCAAAGUUUUUACUAAUCUUUCUGAAUGGCUGCAUUUUAAAACAUAGCUCACCUCAGCAUUUCUCUCCAUGCUCUAAUAUCCACAAAUGCUGGAUAUCAGAACUGUAAAAAUGCUCGUAAUGGAUUAUCAUUUUAUCCUCUGCUCAGGGAUAACAAAUUUAAGCACAGCAUUUGGAAAUAUAUUGGCCUUGGUAGACAGAGGCUGAGACAAAGCACGCUGAACAGCCCUGUUUAUUCUUUUAUAUUGCCAGUGGCAUCAUGAUUGAGAUCCUGGCUUGUGAUACUAACCAGAAAGAACAAAUCACGUGGAUUUGGAACUAGAUGUCAGUCAGGGUGUACACACCAUCCUGCAUUAGAGAAUUUCACUUGCCUGUGAAUUAAAUUACUGUAAAAUUAAUUUGAAAGAAUGAGUCAUUUUUGGAGGAAAUGUUUAUCAGAACUGAUUCUAGUGAACAAAACUUGGUUAAGUGCUACUGAGCUGCAGUUGUUUAGCAAAGAUAUUCCCUAAAACAGUCUACAUAUAAGGAAGAAAAUUAUUAAUAAUUAGAUACUUAUGUGCUUUAUUGUUUGAUAAGUUCCUCAUAACUGACUGAUCAUCCUUUAUCAUGCUGGAGCAUAUGGAAAAUGAUUGCAGUGCCAAAAUCAUCACUGUAACCUCUACAAUUCCAGGAAUGUUUAUUUCCAAUAGCAGUGAGCAGCAGUAAGGUUGUCAUCAGGGUAUUCCGCUCCAAUUACACGUAAAUGCCUUUUUUCUCUUUAAAAUUCCAAUAAAUGUUUGCAUAUUUAAAAACAUUGUGCUUGAAAGCUUAGAAAUUAAUGAGCUGGUUGGCUAAAAGCAUAACUUGAAUAUGUUAGCAAAGCAGUAAAUUCUCUAGCACGAUGAAUAACCUCUCUGAAACUUACUAAAAUCCACUGUUGCAGUUUUGUAAUAGCUCACUUCUCCUAUUGCUUUUAGGAAAACUUAUUAUUCAAAAUUUAUUACUUAAAAUUAGUCUAUAAAGGAACUAAAUCCAGGACAUUGGUUUAAACAAAUAUUUAAUCCUUGUCAAUAGCUUUAAAUAUUUUUUUCUAGGUAAGAAUUCUCAACAGGGGAGAAUUGGAGAAUUCUACAUUGAUUCUCUUACGUAUUAUCGCAUGCAGGCUGUCUCUUGCCACAGGCUGAUGUUUUAAUUUUGCUAUUCAUUCUAAUAACUUUUUGUGCUUCUGAAAUUUUUAUUUCAUUAGGGUUUUAAACCAUCUCAUAAGAAGUAUUUACAAAACUGGCAACAGUCUAAGUUUCUAAUUCCUUAUAUAAGCUGUACUGUACACAACUGUCAAAUCAAAUUAGAUGAACAAACAUUUUGUCUGUAAGAACUAAAUGGCACAUUGAAGAAUAAAUCAAACAGUAAAUAAGUAAAUAAAAACAGACAUUUUUGUCAGUUUGUGCUGUCAGGUUUUCAUGACAUCAUUCGCCCCUCGUUCAUCCUGCAUGAAGCUGUCAUAUUAAGAAGAAAAUGCAGCCUUAUAAAAAAAGAGUUAUUUAAAUAUUUAUUUAUCUACUUAUUGCUAAUAAGGGCAGGAAUAAUGAAAAAAACAGACUCUUUUGCCAAAAAAUUUGCACUGAUUUUAGUUAUCAUUACACCAUUGUUUCCAGCAAGUAUGAUUGCUAAUCAUAUCAACAGUAAAUUGAAUAUCUAUUUCCCCUUUCCUACUCAUUCAAACCUUCUUCCAUUAGCAUAAUUGCAAUUAUUAAUUAUUUUUAUUACAGUUCUACACAAAAGUCCUAAUCAAAAUCUGGCAUACAUACAGAUGAAGAGGAAGUUCAAGUAAGUUUUGUGAAGAAACAACAGUGACAACAGGAACUUGUUGCUGCUCAUGAGAAUUUGAGAAAUGCCAUGACUUCUUACUGCUUUUUUUAGUCACAAAUGUGUGUCAAAAUGCAGUUAGCCAGAGUUCAGACAUCCGUAUUCGUUUUGCAAAGACUACUUUUGGCACAUCUAGCAUCAAAGUUAUAGCAAAUUUUAGGGUUAACUUAGAAAGAUUAAAAAGACUGGAUUCUGUGACAGAUGGAAAACCUCCUGUUUGUGCAGGCAAAGAUUUAUUUUCAAGAAUAAAUAAGUAAAGAUUAAUUUUAUCUAUGCAUAGAGUAAAUUUCUGUGAAAAUUACUGUGAGAAACAUGAUGUUAUAAUUAUGAGUUAUUCUAAAAGAUAGACUUAAUUAUUUUCAGUGAUAACUAUAUUUGUAUCGAGAACUGAGGGAAAAAAAAAAUCUAUAGCGAAAGGGCAAUCAUUUUCUGUCCAGGACUUCUUAAGCAUAAAAAUAACUGUAUUAAAUUUUUCACGAGCAAAAUUUUUUAUAAAGAUGGAUUAGUGGACAGAAUAAACUAAGCAAACCAAUAUCAUUUAUACAUUGCACUUGAAAUGAAAAUGUACACUUUAAUAAACAGAUGUAACCAUUACAUCUUGAUAUCUCUACAGAAUUCACAAGUUCUCUAAUUUCUUUAGCUCAAAAUAUGAACUGAGAAUUUCUUUAGAUCUUUUUCUUCAGUUCUUUUUCUUCAGUUCUUUUUCCAGUCAUUGAUGAAACCAACCCAGCAUUUCUUUUUUGUUUGAAUGUUAAUUUUUUAAAGUGAUAAAUAUGAUCACAGGUAGUCCACCCCCUGGGUAGAGACUGAAAGAACUAAAUGAAAGGGAGAGCUGCCAACGUUCUGUUCUUUUUAUGAUAAAGCUAAAGCAUUACAGCAUCAGGAAUUGCCUGCUCUGCCUUCACAAUCAGGAGAUUUACACUACUUCUUAGUGUACUUCCUUGUCAAAUGAGGAACUCUGGGAUGGGUGGAGCAGAGCAUUUCCCGUGAGAGGACACAGUGAAGGACCGUAGCUCAGUCACCAUGGCAAAGGGAAAGCUUUGCAGGAUGAAACAGCAGUACUUCCAGGGGCUACCAAGAAGAUGCAGCUGGGCUCUUCACAAUGGGAGGAUGAGAGGCAGUGUGAAUAAAGUGAAAAAAGCAAGGUUUAGACUGAAUAUAGGGUAAAACGUUUAUUGAUGAAAACAAUCAAUCAGAGCCUAUUCAGUGUAUACCACCUAUAUACCUGGUAUACACCUAGAGAGUUUGUGUGAUUUCUACCUUUGAGACUUUCAGGACCAGACAGGAAGAAGCCCUGAACGACUCAUGGUUGACCCUCCUUAAGAAGGAGGUUGGACUAGAGAUGUCUUGAGGUCUUUUCUAACCUUAAUUAUCCUAUGAUUCCUUAUGUCUGUGAUAUCACCCUUCAUGUGCCUACAUUAGAAGCAAUAAGAAAUUCAUCAAAUAUAAAACUUCUCAAUUCUCAUAUAAAUAUUUGGAUCCUACAUAUCCUCUAGAGACAUAUGGAUGCAAAAGAAAGUUUAACAUAAGCAUGGGCUGCAUAUAAUACAGUGUCUUCCUUAUGACUACAUACUAAUACGUUAGUUGGGAUGUCACAGAUAUAUAUUUAUAUUUACUGACAUUUUAGAUAUUUUAAUUAUUGAUUUUAUGUAAUAAUUUGCAUGUAUUUUAAAUGACAUUACUAUACCACUUUUUUUCCUCUAGAUUUAAAACACGUUUUUUAACUUUUGCAUUUAAGUUAUUCCAAAAGCUAAGCAAAAAAAUAAUGCAAUAUGUAUUAUUCUAAUCAUUUUCUUACUAGCAAAAUGUGGUCUGUCAGUACACAUCAUGAUAUACGUGAUACAUAUGGUACAAAUUUGAAUUUCUUUUAUAGUGCAUCCAUCUCAACACUGGACCAUAUGAGAUUGGUAGAGGGGAGUUCACUAAAAAAGAGCAGAUUGACUGCUUAGUUCUGCUCUCAAAGAAAGACACUUUACAGUAUGAUAAUGAAUGCAGAUUACAGUGGUUGAACAAUAAACUUUUGAAUAAUGUAAUUUUGUUCAGAUUCUCUAACAAAAGCAGAGUUAAGUAGCCAAAACACAGAUAUUUUCCUUUAAAUUGUUUUCCAUGUCUUGUUUUCAGUAGCUUUUAUUUUAGAAAAGUCCUGACAAGUAAGUUGAUGGCUACUUCUGAACAGAAUAAUGUGAUAAAGAAAGAAACAAUUUAUUCAGCUUAUCCCUAGUGACAGUAAAAUUCAGUGUUCUGUCAAUAACUCCACCUUUAUCAUCUUACUUUUCAACGAGAUUCCUUUGACAGUGGUUUUAAAUACAUAUUAUAUAGAUGUAUAUAAUAUAUAGAUAUUUGUUUAAUGCAGAACAAACAAUGCAAUCUCAUCUUCAUAGGAAACAGAGAGAGGGGGACAGUUAUGAAUCCAUUUCAUUUUUGAUUUUGUAUUUUGAACACUUUAUCAGAAUGUUGUAUAAACCUUAAUCACAUACACUGGUAUUUCAACUACGUUACACUGAAGGUUCAGAACUGACAAAUAGCUCAACGUGAACUUCUGUGUCUAUGUGAUAAAGAAUACAUUUUUUAAACAUUUAAGUAAUUUAAACAUUAAAAUGAGGGUGCUAUUAAGAAUGAGUACAGCCUUUUUCAUUACACAUUUUCCGAGUUUUAGUUUAAAAAUUACUUUUGUCCUAGAAACGUUUGGUUCAUAAGUCAUGCAUUCCUAAUAAUCUCAAAAAAAUUAAUUAAGCAAGCCACCAUAUUAAAUUUGUUGUUUGCUUCAACCAGAGCUGUUGCAAAGAAUUUUCACCGCAAGCAUCAUAUUAGCGGGAGCACUAAGGGAAAAAUAUUUCACACCAGUCCUUUUUCCUCUGCACUGGCAACCAUAAUUUAUUCAAUUUUGUUGGUAUCUUUCAUUAUAACCCAUAAUGCAAUUCUGAAAAAAAGAACGAUGAAAAUGAUAAAUCCAGUUAUUGCUAGGAUAUCUUAUGGCAUGAAAUACCAUCAGUCUAAACUAAAGUUAAAAAUCUGGUGUUUGAAAGUCACAUUCAUUCUUUCUUAUUACUUCUUGUAAGUUCUUUUGUUUUUGUCCCUUUCUCCUUUUUUCCCUUUCUCCCUGCUUUCUAGUAGGUUUUGCUUCUCCUUUCACCACUGUCUUCUGAAUGUCCAUUCUGUAUUUUGUAUGUCCUCUGUAUUUUGCCACUCAUUUAGCUCUGUCAACAAGCCCUUAUUUACUGACUAAGGAUAGAUCAGCAAACUCUUAAGCAUUAAUGGAUCCCUCAUGAAAUGCUUCUAAAUUUACCAAUUCCUCUCUGGUGAUUCAAAACAGUGACAACAAAAUUCAACAAAAAAAUUUUGAAUCUGGUGAUUCAAAACAGUUACAGAUCUGUGACAACUGUAUUUUAAUAGGUCCUACAUAAAACCAUCAUCUGCUUUUGCCUGUUCUUUAAUUCAGCCUACAAAUAUCCCAUAAUUAAUUUACUGAGUUUGCUUGGCAACACAAAUGAAAAUUCAUGAUACUAUGUAGAGGAGAGAAAGAAAUAUGAAUCAGUAUAGACCUUUGUAUCAAUCUUUAAGCAAGCAGCUUCCAUCAAAGUCAAGUAAAUUAAAUAUAAAAGCAGUAGAGUUCUUUGAAAACUGCAACUCAUUUUAUCAAAUCUCUACAGGAGAUAAAUGAAGAUAUUAUGCAAAAAUUAUUUUAAAAAUUAAAAUGUAUUAAUGUAGACAAUUAUUUUCCACACACAUACCUUCCUUAUUUCCUAGCUUGUAGGAAAGGUUAAAGAAUUGUUAUAAACAUGUAAGUGAUGCUCUAGCGAACUUACAGAAAACAUAUAAUAAAAUAUGCCUAUUAUAACUGACAUCUAUUCUGCAGUGUCACAACUGGACUUGAAAAACACCACCAAUACUGUAUUAAUGAAGUCUUUAUAACAAUUUAUUUUAUUCCUUCUCCCAGCAUGAAAAGACAAAUGUUCUUUUCCACCCAAACAUUAUACAUUUUGCAACUAGCAUAAUUUUUACAGGAUAUAAUUAAAGCAGUAAUCAUGAACUAUGUGACAUCUUCCACAAUUAUUCAGUAAGAUUUUCUUCCAUUGAAUGAUAUUAUCUUUAAAAUUAUUAGCAAUUUAUUAGACUCGUCAGUAAUAUGUGGAAAAAAAUGCAGUAGGUUAAACACUCAUUUUUUCCAAAGAUAAUAAAAUGAAAUAUAAAGGCCUAAAUAUUAUGCAUCCUUCCUAAAUACAGCUUUAGCUGACAAUACAGGAUAGUAAUAAAUUCACUUUAACAUCUGCAUUAUGAUAUCACAAGUAAGUUUUUGAAUAAUAUUCAAGUACCUGUAUCAUCUGUUAUGAAAAGUGCAGUGCAGGCAUGUUGCUAUUUAACAGAAAGUCAAAAUAACAGCUGAAGAACAGCACAGAAAAUGGUAAGAGACCUUUUCUAGGUCUCUCACCAACUGGCUGCUGGAUUUUCUAGGUAGAUUAACUCAUGGGAGAUUAAAACAGAAGCUUUGCUCAGAGUACCCACCAGGCAAGAGAAAGCAGAAUACAGUGUUUCACUUACAAUGAUGUUCCAUGUAAAACCAGAGAAGCUGAUUGGCAAAGCAAUCAUCUUAAAAAGGUCCCUGAAGACUAUAAAUAUAACACAAUUAUAUUUUAUACUGGCACUCUGUGGCACGACGACAACCCAUUAACUUAAUCAGAAUAAUGACAGGAGGGCCAUCAGAAUGAUAAAGCCGUUCUAAUGAAAUGCAGACAAAGAUUAAAAAGAAUUAAAAGUGACAAGUAAAAUCCAUUAAAGGACAGUCUUUAGCUACUGUAAUCAAAGGAUUAUUACUCACCUUGUAAAUUAAGAGCAGUGUGUCCAUUUUUUUUUUCACACAACACAAAGACUAUGCCAGGUGUCAAAAAUCAUUAUUAAUAAGAGAUCUUUAUUUUUAAUUUAUUUGGUUUGUGCAUGUACAUUGCAAGACCUCCAAACAAAUCAUGUUCACUAUUUCAGAAGCCGUACCACACACAAUUAAGCAUAGUGUUCUGUGCUAUUAUUGUCCAUACAACUAAGUCUGAGAGAAAGACAGUAAUUACAAAUGGAAUCAAUUGCAAGUUUAUUAAUCAGUGCCUUUAUACUUGUCUCUAACACUAGAAACCCUACUCGGGCAGAAAUGAUCUAUGUGUUUUUCACUCAUUGACACCACUUUACCUAUAUGUAUGCCACAACAUUUUGCAAAACAGGUGAUUCCAGCAAGGUUAGACUGCAGGAAAUUCAAAGGCAAAUUAGUUUCCAGUUGAACUAACAUUUCAAGUAAUUACCUGCAGAAAAUAAAAUAAUAAUUACGGAGAAG